AACGAACGCUGGCGGCAGGCUUAACACAUGCAAGUCGAACGCUCGUAGCAAUACGGGAGUGGCAGACGGGUGAGUAACGCGUGGGAACAUACCCUCUGGUUCGGAAUAACUCAGGGAAACUUGAGCUAAUACCGAAUACGGCCAGUGAUGUAACAGUCAUUGGCGAAAGAUUUAUCGCCGGAGGAUUGGCCCGCGUUCGAUUAGCUAGUUGGUGAGGUAAUGGCUCACCAAGGCGACGAUCGAUAGCUGGUCUGAGAGGAUGAUCAGCCA
rnacentral:rRNA from 1 species